GACGAACGCUGGCGGCGUGCUUAACACAUGCAAGUCGAACGGAAAGGCCCUGCUUUUGUGGGGUGCUCGAGUGGCGAACGGGUGAGUAACACGUGAGUAACCUGCCCUUGACUUUGGGAUAACUUCAGGAAACUGGGGCUCAUACCGGAUAGGAGCUCCUGCUGCAUGGUGGGGGUUGGAAAGUUUCGGCGGUUGGGGAUGGACUCGCGACUUAUUAGCUUGUUGGUGGGGUAGUGGCUUAACAAGGCUUGGACGGGUAGCCAGCCUGAGAGGGUGACCGGCCCAAUUAGAUUGGGAAUGAGGCCCGGACCACUACCGGAGGGAAGGGUGGAGAGGAGUAGAUCAUAGGAUGAAGGCUGAACCGACAAAGCCGCGUCGCGGAAGACGUGCUUGCGGUUGGAAACCAAAUUCCCCUGAGACGGAGGGUGAGUGACGGUAAUGGGAGAAGAAGCACCGGCUAACUACGUG
rnacentral:rRNA from 1 species